UACGUAGGGGGCAAGCGUUGUCCGGAUUUAUUGGGCGUAAAGAGCGUGUAGGCGGCCAGGUAGGUCAGCUGUGAAAACUCGAGGCUCAACCUCGAGACGCCGGUUGAAACCAUCUGGCUAGAGUCCGGAAGAGGAGAGUGGAAUUCCUGGUGUAGCGGUGAAAUGCGCAGAUAUCAGGAGGAACACCAAUUGCGAAGGCAGCUCGCUGGGACGUAACUGACGCUGAGACGCGAAAGCGUGGGGAGCAAACAGG
rnacentral:rRNA from 1 species